ensembl:lncRNA
ACAAAGGUUGCUUAAACAAAGUUACUACUUCACAGAGGUACUUAAAGAAAGAAAGAAAAAAAACAGGGCACAUUGGCAUUCAUCUCAGUUAAGUUCAGAUGUUUUCAGUGUACGUGUGAACAUCUGAGCUGGUUUCUCUUAGCUUCCUUGCAAUGAAAACCAAGAAAUGUGCUCUUUGGAGACACAGCUAAUGUGCCUAAUUCUAGCUGUCUCUAGCAUGAGACAAAUUUCUCCCUCAAAGUGCUUUUUCUCUGCAAUGAUACUAAAGGAAGUCAGAGGCUGACUAGCUUGGAAACAGAUGGCUAUAUUUGGUCAAAUGAAUCCCACACAUGAUGUUUUUCAUUCUUGGAAAAAGAAAAUAUAAAACAGCUAUUAAACCUGGCUCUGUGGAAACAUCCUUAUGGGUGGCAUGGGAAUUAAAAACAAAAUCAGUGCGGUGACUACAAGGAUAGGCUGCUAUAGUACCUGGAAAUGUUGUUGGAGUCAUUCCUGUUAUUGAAAGGCUAUUUUUGCUUGUCCAUGAAACUGAAGGUCCAGUGUAUUCAAGUUUCUCUUUGCAAACCCAAGGACACAGAUACGAACAGGAAAGGUCAGGCUGUCACGUAGACAUAUUGCUCCAGCACUUGGGACUUCAGAAAGGCACCAUAUUUCGCAAGACACUUAGAGCAAAUCUGACUGCUGUCCUUCUUGACUCUUGCCUUACAUUUUUGGUUUGCUACCAAAGCAAACAGUAAGUGCCUGGAAAAGUCCUAUUUCUCAUUUCUAGUAACAAUGUUUUUGUUUAUUUGUCCUCAGUGCUUAGUUGAAACCCUAUAAUUCGACAUAUUAAUAUGAUGGCUGAUGAAUCAACUAUAUCCAUUUUUUCCAAAGGAUGUGUAAAGUAGUAGUUUCAGGGUCUUAUCCACGGGGCAUUUGUCACUGGAGUUAGCCACACUGGCAGCAAAAAGGCACACAGUGUUCUACAGGUGACGUGAGGCCGACCUGGCUCACUCCUUCACUCACCGUGUCAAGUGCUACAGUCUACAGAUGCACAGAAGUACCAGGCUGAUGUCUUGCACUGUGCUGGAGGGCUCACCGAAUGAGGACGAUAACCAAAAGGCAUGUUAUAACCACCAGAUUUGACAUUAUUCUACCCUUAACACAGAGAUGUUCAUAUCUCUAGGAAUGUAGAGUUGCCUCAGGAAGAAAGCCACUUAGAGACAUAGCCAUAGAGCACACGUCCAUUACGUCCUGUACUUGGGACUUCUUUCAGCUGUUCAGUCUAGUUACCAAACAUUUUUGAUAAUCCAGUCCAAAAAAUAUUCACUGUGCUUAGCCUAGCAUGGCAAGUAGUUCACUAAUAGAGUUCCUUUUUCUUUGUCUACCAUUCAGAGCACCUAAAUUUUUGCCCCAAAGCAUCCAAUACGAGCAAUGAAGAAACUCUCUUUGUGUUGCAUUUUUUCCUCUUCCUGACAGUGGUACAGACCAAGAGUGCCCCUUUUUUGUUCAGUGCCAGACAAGCCAGACCCAGUUUGUGAUUUCAGAUGCAGAUUGAAGAGCAUAUGGCACAUGAGCAGGUGGCGGUGUCCCAACAUUUCUCCUGGCCCUGUGGACCUCCCUGCUCCAUGCCCAUGAAAGAUGUAGCCAUGAGCAGCUAAGUCCUUGUGGCUU